rnacentral:rRNA from 1 species
GACGAAACGCUGGCGGCGUGCCUAAUACAUGCAAGUAGAACGCUGAAGAGAGGAGCUUGCUCUUCUUGGAUGAGUUUGCGAACGGGUGAGUAACGCGUAGGUAACCUGCCUUGUAGCGGGGGAUAACUAUUGGAAACGAUAGCUAAUACCGCAUAACAAUGGAUGACACAUGUCAUUUAUUUGAAAGGGGCAAUUGCUCCACUACAAGAUGGACCUGCGUUGUAUUAGCUAGUAGGUGAGGUAACGGCUCACCUAGGCGACGAUACAUAGCCGACCUGAGAGGGUGAUCGGCCACACUGGGACUGAGACACGGCCCAGACUCCUACGGGAGGCAGCAGUAGGGAAUCUUCGGCAAUGGGGGCAACCCUGACCGAGCAACGCCGCGUGAGUGAAGAAGGUUUUCGGAUCGUAAAGCUCUGUUGUAAGUCAAGAACGAGUGUGAGAGUGGAAAGUUCACACUGUGACGGUAGCUUACCAGAAAGGGACGGCUAACUACGUGCCAGCAGCCGCGGUAAUACGUAGGUCCCGAGCGUUGUCCGGAUUUAUUGGGCGUAAAGCGAGCGCAGGCGGUUUGAUAAGUCUGAAGUUAAAGGCUGUGGCUCAACCAUAGUUCGCUUUGGAAACUGUCAAACUUGAGUGCAGAAGGGGAGAGUGGAAUUCCAUGUGUAGCGGUGAAAUGCGUAGAUAUAUGGAGGAACACCGGUGGCGAAAGCGGCUCUCUGGUCUGUAACUGACGCUGAGGCUCGAAAGCGUGGGGAGCGAACAGGAUUAGAUACCCUGGUAGUCCACGCCGUAAACGAUGAGUGCUAGGUGUUGGAUCCUUUCCGGGAUUCAGUGCCGCAGCUAACGCAUUAAGCACUCCGCCUGGGGAGUACGACCGCAAGGUUGAAACUCAAAGGAAUUGACGGGGGCCCGCACAAGCGGUGGAGCAUGUGGUUUAAUUCGAAGCAACGCGAAGAACCUUACCAGGUCUUGACAUCCCGAUGCUAUUUCUAGAGAUAGAAAGUUACUUCGGUACAUCGGUGACAGGUGGUGCAUGGUUGUCGUCAGCUCGUGUCGUGAGAUGUUGGGUUAAGUCCCGCAACGAGCGCAACCCCUAUUGUUAGUUGCCAUCAUUCAGUUGGGCACUCUAGCGAGACUGCCGGUAAUAAACCGGAGGAAGGUGGGGAUGACGUCAAAUCAUCAUGCCCCUUAUGACCUGGGCUACACACGUGCUACAAUGGUUGGUACAACGAGUUGCGAGUCGGUGACGGCAAGCUAAUCUCUUAAAGCCAAUCUCAGUUCGGAUUGUAGGCUGCAACUCGCCUACAUGAAGUCGGAAUCGCUAGUAAUCGCGGAUCAGCACGCCGCGGUGAAUACGUUCCCGGGCCU